AGAGUUAAAUAGUACGUGAAAUUGUUGAAAGGGAAACGAUUGAAGUCAGUCAUGCCAGUGAAAAUUCAGUUUGGCGGGUCUUAAGUUCACGAACAGAGGCAGGGUCAAACCGUCUCUUUUUUGAACUUGGGAUUUGUCAGAUGCACUUUUUCUUUGGCAGGUCAGCGUCGAUUUCGGGGGUUGUAAAAUACUUGGGGAAAAGUAGCUCUGCUUCGGGAGAGUGUUAUAGACCUUGGGGGAUGCAGCCCGCGGGAUCGAGGAUUGCAGCAAAUGCCUUUGGCUUGUCGCCUGAUCUCUGGACGUUACCUCGCUUGUGACAAUAUUCUUGUUGCCGGUGAGUACUAAUGCCUACUGGGUUAGAGCGAUCAAAAAUUUGCUAAGGAUGUUGACGUAAUGGCUUUAAACGACC
rnacentral:rRNA from 1 species